rnacentral:rRNA from 1 species
UACGUAGGGUCCGAGCGUUGUCCGGAAUUAUUGGGCGUAAAGGGCUCGUAGGCGGUUCGUCACGUCGGGAGUGAAAACUCGGAGCUUAACUCCGAGCCUGCUUCCGAUACGGGCAGACUAGAGGUAGGCAGGGGAGAGCGGAACUCCUGGUGUAGCGGUGGAAUGCGUAGAGAUCAGGAAGAACACCGGUGGCGAAAGCGUUCUGCUAGACCUGUACUGACGCUGAGGCGCGAAAGCGUGGGGAGCGAACAGG